GUCUUAUAGUACAAGAUAGAAAUAGGUCGAUAUAGACCAAGUUGAACGAGAAUGGGAAUAGAAGCUCUUUCGAUCCAAACAAAUGGAAGGACAAGCCAAGCGUAAUGGCGUAAGUGCCUACAAGCUGCACUGGAGCAGGCAGAGAAUGAGCCGCAGAAUCUAAACUCUGCUCAGACAAGUUUUCAUAUCUGUUUUGCAACAUGUAUCAGUCUUUGAAGUCCAGAAAGCUUCCAAAGGUGAUUUGAGUAAUUUUUUUAUUUAUUUCUGAUUUAUUGUUCAGUUUUCUUCUGUGUUUUGUCAUGAAAUUGGAGAAUGUAGGUUAAUAGGACCUAUGUUGGCAAAUUUCAUAGAACAAAGCUAGAGUCUGUAACUUUUGUUUUAAUUUCUAGUGUAGGUUAGGAGUUCCUAAAAGUUAGUGUUAGUUGUUACCUCCUACACUUGGUUGAAGAAGGAAUUUCGAGCUACCUUGGAGAGUAAUUGUUUAAUAUUCUACACCAAGGUAAAAAGCUAUUUAUGAUCAUGUCUCAUGGGCUUCGAUUUGUCGAAAAAGGGAAGGUCUAGAGCUUCAGUGACUACCGUAUUAGCUUUGUGUAAUAAACUCCCUUUGUUUUUUAAUUUAUGGAUGAGGGGAAUGCCUUGCUCCGGUUUGUUUGUAUUGUUUUAAUGCAUCAGAUGAUAGAGAGUAUUUUUUUUUUUUUUGAGCUGUGAUUUUGUUACUCAAGUAUAGGACUACUUUGCCGAUCUUCUGGGUAAAAAUUGGCAUCUUGUCCAUGAUUUAAAUGUUGGUCAUCUGGGUUUCUUCUUGGUUCGGCACUGAUCAGCUUCCAAAAAUGAUUUUAUUGUAGUCAUUUGGGGUAAUUGGAAGGUGGGGUACUCUAGAGAGCUUUGGUUUUCUGUUUUUAUGUUGCUGGUAUGUCUUCAGAAGGUGCUCUUAGUUAAGGGCAUUUUAUGUCAUUUGUUUUGGAAGUAGGUGUAUUCUGUUCUAAUUCCUACCUUCUGUUUUGUUACUUCUGUACAGUGAGGGCAUGCCCUCCUUUAUACUUCAUUGUCUUAUCUUUUAUAAAGUCAUUCCAUUUAUGAAAACAGAAGAAGUUAAUUUAACACUUUGAUGCACUCAUGAUUAGGUUUUAAAUUCUUACAUGAUUAGACCUUAUUUGAUUCCCUAAAUCUUUUGAAAUGUGCAUAGAAGUGUUUCUGGAAACUUCCUAUUCAAAAUUUUCUAAGUUAAACACUGAAGUAGACUCAAUUGAUCAAGCUCUCAAUCGAGCCCCACUGAAGUUGUGUCAACAAAUCGAGCCUCGUGAAAUUUCAGUUUUCAUUCUAGUUUAAAACGACACCAAACCUUUUCUCUCUAUACUUCUAUUUUGCCUAUAUACAUACAACUCUACAGCAGAAUACAAAAGAUACAGAAAAUAACUUAUACACACAUAGAGAUCCUAAUUUUGAGUUCUAAGGUUGCAUCAUUAUUAUUGAUUUCUUUAGAUUCAUCACACUUAGUACUGGUGUGUUCUUCACUGUGCGUUGACAUUUGUUGCUGUGUACUACUUGUGAAGACUUCAACAUCAUAAUUAAUCCAUCUUUAGAGAUUGAAUUGGACAAUUAGUGGUUGGAUUACUGGUGUAGAAGCAGAUUCUUGAGGAGCGAAGGCUGUUGGCGAGCAGAUCGUGUACCUGGAAAUCCAAGGAGAGUUUGAUGGGUUGAUCGUCAACGAGGUCACUAGGAGUUUUUAGGGUUUUUGGAAUUGUCACCUAGGUUGUAAUCCUUCUUUUUUGUAGUUGAUUCCAUUUGCCUAGAUUAGGAGGUCCCAGUUUUUUGUCCGUUUGGGUUUUCCACGUUAAAAAUAUGUGUCCAUUGAUUUCUUGCUUUAUUUGUUUAUUGUGUGCUAUGGAUUGAAUGAUUGGUUCAGGCUGUAUCAAAGCCUCAAGUUCCGGUCUGAACUAUCAAUAUUUUCAGUUCCUUGAAAGAUUCAUAUGGAGAUGGAAUGUUAGUCCCAAUUAAAGGAUGCUAGACAUAGAUAAUAGGAUAGAAGGACAAGUCAAAUCGAUUAUUGGUUUAUUUUUUAUGUAUAAGAUGUUCCGUAUGUUUCUUCAAUGUCUAGAAAUAUUGUUUCUUUACCUUAACUUGGCAAAUUGAACUAAGAAUCUCAUUUCAUUAAUACGCACCUUCAGAAAUCAACUGAUGGCCUCUUCAUCCAAGAUCGUGUACAUUCAAAAUUGUUUCACUUUGUGGAGAUACACAAUUUCGAUAUUCAGAUAGGAAAGUCAAGAAUUAGGUCUUUUCAGCAUGUUUAUGCUAGUUGUGAUGGCUUAGUGUUGUUCUGUGAUCGCAUAAGUCGGUACCUCAUCCAUGUUGCAAAUCUUAUUACGAAGCAAGUAGUGGUCCUCCCUCCAUUUUUUUGAUAAAAUUGUAUACCAGUCUUGUUUAGCAUAUGUUCGUUCUACCAGGAGAUACAAAGUGGUGAUGAAAACUUUAAUUAUGUGUGCACAAUAUUAACUGUGGGUACCAAGAGUGCUUGGAGGAUGAUUGAUACUGAAGAGUCAGAAGAGAUAUCGGACUUUGUUAAGUAUCUGACUCGAUGUUACUGCCCCUUAUUUGUUGGAGGGUAUAUUUAUUGGACUGGUGGGUAUGGUGAUCCCCACCUUAUUGCUUUGGAUGUUGAAGCUGAAACAAUUCACCAGCUUCCGAAUCCGAAAAUCUACAAGGAACGAGGAGGUAAUUAUAUAAUGAGGAGGCCUUAGAUAACUAAGUGUCAUGCGGGGAGUACCACACUGCAGCUAUUUCAGAGAAAGGCGGGGAUUAUUGGGUUUCACAAGGCUAGACAAAAACUUGAUGUUGAGGGCCUUAUUUGGAGAAUAAUAUCUAGUUAAAGAAUUCUGAUCUUCUCAAUUAUACACAUCUUUUAUAUUCUUUUAGUAUUUUUGGUGUUUCCAUCGAAAAAUUUGCAUAUUCUUCAUUCUGUGACAAUAACAUUGGUGGGUCCUAAUUGGAUGACCCAUUUACUUGCAAAACUCAUAAGAGUAGUUCCACUUGAAAGGGAACAAAAAUAAAUAAAUAAAUAAAUAGAGUAGUUCCUUAUUUUACAUAUUUAUUUAUUUAUUGUAUUCAUAUUUAUUGUAUUCAUUGAAUAUAAUUUCCUACAUAGUUUGCAUAUUGAUGCUGGCUGUCUAUGUUUUUUUAGUUUAUUAUCUGGUUCUGGGUCAGCUUGGGCAUUGUUCCCUUCAGUAUGGGGAGGAGUUGGGUAAAAAGUUAGUGUCACGAUUGAUCAUAGUUUUUAUCUACUAAUUGAAAUAUGGUUGGUAGUACCUAUCUUGUACUGAACCAGAAUCCUCUCCUGUGGAACAGGAGAAUCUGUUCCCUCCGGUUUUCACUGUAGCAGUGGUAAAAAGGGCCAAACAGUACUUUGGGUAAAAAAGGUACACAGAGACACAUAUACGAACAAUACACAUACAAAAAAUUAUACAUACAUACAUACAUACACGAAAUUUUUCCUAUUGAAACUCAGAUUGAAGCGGCAAAUUGGAAAAUCCAAAACAGAUUUAGCGCCUCUUCUAAUCUUCUUUCUUCUUCUUCUCUCCCAGUUUUUCCUCCUUUCCAAAUUUAUAAUUUCUUUCCAAAGGUUUUAUUAAACGUCGGCGGAGAAGAGGAAGGCACAAUUGUGAAUCGGACCUUCUAAAUUUCUAAUCUUGUUUCUUCUUCUUCUCUCCCGAUUUUCUUCCUUCUUUUCAAAUUUACAAUUUCUUUCCAAACAUUUCAUUGAAUGUCGGAGAAGAGUAAGGUACAGUGACAAAGGUAUGUUCUUAAUCUGCUUUCUUCUUCUCUCCCUAAAUAUAGAAUGAAAUAAAUUCGUCUUCCCAAAAAAGUCCUAGCUUUCCUUAAUUUUGUUCUUUUCAAAAUUACAAUUUGUUUGGAAAGGUUUGAUUGAACGUGAGGAAGAGGAACCUUCAGUGUUGGAGAAGAGGAAGCUACAGUGACGAAGGUAUAGGAUACAAGAUUGGAGAUUGCAAUUGCUUGGGUGAUUUGCUGGGUUGAGCUUCUUUAGAAGCAAUUUUGUUCACAUGCAAGUGUUACCAUGUUCAUGAUUUGUCUAUGAAAUGUAAUUUUUCUAACUUGGAGGUUUGACAUGUCAAAUGUUAUAAAUGUAUUGUAAUGAGGCCAUAGGCCAUUGUACCACAUCUAUUUUAUCAUAUUACAUGCACUUGCAUACUCACUUUGGCAAACAAUAUAUUCUUUGAUGAAACAAAAACUAAGUAGCAUUUUUAGGGAGUUUUACCCUAUUCUGUUCCAGGGGCAUUUCGGGUAUUUCACAAUGUAUUUUUUUCAUUUUUCCUCGUGAGUCAUGUAGAAAACUCAAUUUUGAGGGGGGUUUCUUCUUUGUGUUUUUCAAGAAAACAUCAUCUUGUCCCUCAAAAAUCAAUAUUUUUCUGAAAAAUCCUUGCUGCCAGGUUUUUGCAAAUUUUUAGUACAAAUGUAGUUGGUACUAUUCAUCGACUUUUUUUUGAAAAUCGUCACGACCGAUCCGAAACUUCCAGAGGUCUUGUGGGUGUAUUUUAAGAUUGUGUUUUCAAUUUAAGCAAUUUAAAAACCUCUCGAAGCCCUAUUUGCAAAACUUGGGCAGUAGCUUGGAUUAUUUUUUUUUUCCUCUUGACCUGAUUUUCUUGGGGGCAUUCUGGGCAUUUUACAAUGCAUUUUUUUUUUUGUUUCCGUUCAUGAUCGGGGUAGGAAACUUGAUUUUAGGGGGGGUUUCUUCUUUGAGUUUUUCCAAAAAAGUCCGUUUAGAUGCCUGUUUUUACUCUCAGUUGCAGCAGUGGUGGGUUGUCCUCGUCGGGCCGCCACGACAUCAUUUUUGUUUUUGACCUUUCUCCCCUGUUCGGACUCCAAAUUGAGUAAAUUUUUUUUUGAACUUGACUAAUUUGUUCCAGCGGUGUACUCGAUAGCACCUGAAUCCACUUUUUACAAAAUGACCAUUUUGUCCCUAGGUUCCUUUUUGUCCGUAAUUGAAACGUCACUAACGCAUUUGUUUUCCUUUGGGUUCCGUGACCUCAUUAAGGGUCACAUUGGUGUCUUAGCAACAUAUGGUAUCUCUAGAGACCGUUGUUUCACCUUUCGCUUCCGCAUUUCGGAUCCGUUAUCGGGUCAUCUUUUGGUCAUCACUGACGCACUGUUACAAAACUUGGGCCGUCACACAAACAGUUCAGCUUCAGAAUUGCAAUGAAGCCCUUCAAUCAGGAGAGGCAGGUGGUAGUAGUCGUAGUGGAACAAUCCCCUACCACGUGUUAGUGAAUGGCUGUGAAAUUCCAGUUGAAUUUCUCAGUGAAGAAAGUUAUAUGACGCCACCACAACGUGUAAUGCAUUACAGAAGGUUUUCGCAACCGCCUGCUGAACUAACUACUCCAUUAACUAACCAGG